rnacentral:tRNA from 1 species
GCUUUGAUUUUGUUGGGUUUCUGCUCGACUGUUAAUCGAGUGGCCGUAGGUUCGAAUCCUACUCAGGGAG